rnacentral:tRNA from 1 species
UCCCUGAUGGCUCAGUUGAUAAAGAAUCUGCCUGUAAUGCAGAAGACCCCAGUUCAAUUUCUAGGUCAGGAAG